GACGAACGCUGGCGGCGUGCUUAACACAUGCAAGUCGAGCGACUGCAUUCUUUUCGGAGGGUGUAUGGAGCGGCGAACGGGUGAGUAACACGUGAGUAAUCUGCCUUUGGCUUGGGAAUAACUUCGGGAAAUCGGGGCUAAUGCCUGAUGUUUACUGUCUGCUGCAUGGUGGGUGGUGGAAAAGACUUUUUGGCCAGGGAGUGAGCUCGCGGUCUAUCAGC
rnacentral:rRNA from 1 species